UGGCCAGACUCCUACGGGAGGCAGCAGUGAGGAAUAUUGGUCAAUGGCCGAGAGGCUGAACCAGCCAAGUCGCGUGAGGGAAGACGGCCCUACGGGUUGUAAACCUCUUUUGUCGGGGAGCAAAUUCCGCCACGUGUGGCGGAGUCGAGAGUACCCGAAGAAAAAGCAUCGGCUAACUCCGUGCCAGCAGCCGCGGUAAUACGGAGGAUGCGAGCGUUAUCCGGAUUUAUUGGGUUUAAAGGGUGCGUAGGCGGACGCUUAAGUCAGCGGUAAAAUGGCGGGGCUCAACCUCGUCGAGCCGUUGAAACUGGGUGACUUGAGUGGGCGAGAAGUACGCGGAAUGCGUGGUGUAGCGGUGAAAUGCAUAGAUAUCACGCAGAACUCCGAUUGCGAAGGCAGCGUACCGGCGCCCAACUGACGCUGAAGCACGAAGGCGUGGGUAUCGAACAGGAUUAGAUACCCCCGUAGCU
rnacentral:rRNA from 1 species